AGGGAGGCUACCGAUGAUCCUAGUUGCCUUAGUUCUUGGGCCUUAAUCCAUGGAGCUGAGUUAUCUGCCCUUUAUUCAAGUUCAUUUAUGUGACCAUUUCCCCAGAUUCAUGCCCUCUAAACAGAAGAUUUCUUGGCAGGAAGUUGGUUUGAGCCCAAAAGGUGGGACUGAAAAUCAGAUGGCUAAGGGUGCAGAUGCAUUUUUUUUUAAUAGAAAAGGAGUGAAGAAUUGAAAUGAUAAUCCACUCCAUCAUACUGUGCUACAAAGUUUGGACUUUAUAUAGAAAAUGAAGAGUUACCAAAGCCAAUUACAGUAACAGAGGUGAAUAUUUUCGUGAGAUCUCAGAUGCCAAUAUCCAGAAGUACGCGGCUGGCUCCAGUAUUUUUGAAAACGCACUUAAACCACAUCUGAGAAUUGGGCAAUGAAAAGAAGACAUCAUUGGAUACUAUAUCUGACCUUUGCUUUUGCUACCAGCAACAUAAAGUAAUACCAUUUACUGCACAGGUCAAAUCGAAAAACCAUGUGAAGAUGCCAUGGCCUUUUUUUUCUCCAGAGCUACCAGUCACACUUCCUAAAUCUUCAUACCCAAGGAGGGUGACCUUCACAGACUACAUGGUUCUCCAGCCGAAUAUAUGCACUUUCCCGCUGGAUCCACCAAACAAAUAAAUAAUGGUAAAGCAAGAAAAUUCAAUAUCUUAACUACAAUAAAGUCAUCCUGAAUAGGUACAAUAGAAUAGGCCCAGCAACCCAGACAAAAUGCUUCGUUCCCCUUUUCUGUUUUGUAUUUUAAGUCUGUGCAUGAAAAAAAGACUUCAUGCUUAUAUGAAAAAGGAUUCUCCUGAUUUAGUGACAGUAGGACCUGUAUUUUUGGUGUCUUCCACACACUCUGAUUCAGGUUGUCUUUAUGUAACAAGCAUUUACUCUGAACCUACUAAGAACCUGGCACCACGUUGAGUGCUUAAUGAACAGUUCUUGCUUUUAACAGCUCACAUCUAGUAUAGCAACAGCUGAAGUAGCAGGUAGAUAUAAUGUGAUAUUGUGAGUGCUGAACUAAAGAGAUACAGGUACAAAUAGUUUUAAAAAUGCUAAAGAAAUUGAAUGAGUCAAGAUUGGGUUCACAUGCAAAUGAUAGAAAAUAUAAGUUUAGUUCUUUCCACAUAGACAAUUUUUGGUAGUAGGCAGUCCAAGCUGCCCACUGUCUCCACAGUCACCAGGAACUCAGCUUCCUGCUAUCUAGAUACUCUGCUGUCAUCAACACUUGACUUCCACCUCAUGGCUAUUCAAGCAUCAGCCACCAAAUCAAUAAUCUAGCAAGCAGAAAGAGGAAAGGAGUGAAGAAUGCCAUGCUCUCCUCUCUUUAAGGACACUUCUAGAAGCACAGCACUUCUGACUACAUCCUGUUCACCAAACCUUGACCAUACGACUGGCCAUACCUGGCAGCAAGAGAGGCUGAUACAGUCUUUAUUCUGGAAAGCCAUAUGCUGGCUGCAAACUGGAAGUUCAUUAACUGAGUAAUAAGAGAGGUCAGUUAUUAGAAGAUAAUGGACUUUUUCUGCCUCAGGAUUUCAGGCCCGGGAGAAAAAAUUUUAUCUGGAAAGGAAGAGCAUGUCUGGAAGGCUUCCUGGAGGUGACAUUUAGUCUGGGUUUCUGAGGAAGGGAAGGAGUAUAUCGAAUAAAAAAUCAAAGGAGGCACUAUACAGGCAAAGGGAGCAGUACCAGAGUUGGCACUCAGAAACAGCUAGCCUGAGUAUGAAAUGUAAUCAGUCACAAUAGAUCCAUUUUAUGCUGAGUGAGAAUCUAAAGGAAAUAUUUCACAAUGUUCUCAAUAUCUGAGCAAUUUUGUCUAAUCACAUGCAUCUAGCUGCUAAAGACUAAAUUAUCACAUCAUGCUCACAGAAGUGAAACAUAAUUAGAAAAUAUAUUUAUUGAAAUCAUUGUCCAUGUACAUUAAAUUGGAUAAUCACUUGUUAAAUUAGGAAAGAUAUUCAGAAAGUUAAUUAAUCUUGGAUUUCGGUUAUGACAUGUAGCAAGUGUGAAACAACCAUCUCUAAGGCCAUUUACACACAUGUUCAUUUAUUAAUAGGCAUCACAAUAGCAUAACAUCUUGCUUAAAACAAAGAAACAAUUAGUCCUGAAACAGAAAAGCACACAACACAGAACAGGCAGGAUAGCAUAGUGAUAGUAAUAACAACAGCACACACUUAGCAAAUACUUGCUACGUGCCAGGUAUUCUUCUAAGCACUUGGCACAUAUGAACUUCCUUAAUCUUCACAACACUGCGAGCUAGGUUUCUAUCACUGUCUCCAUUUUUACUGAGGAGGAACUGAGGCUCGGAGAGGUUAAGUAACUUGCUCAAAGUCCCUUGGCUGAUAUAUAGGGACACACAAACACAAACCCAUGCAGCCCAGAUCCUUAACCACUCUACUAGGUCAUAAAAGGAAGAGGGUUAUGGGAUAGAUCCCACCUCUAUGACUAACUAGCAAUGAGACUCUUGGGUAAGUUAUUUCACCCCUCUUUGUCUUAGUUUCUUUGUUACUGUGACUGAAUAAGAGGCUGCAUGUAAAAGUUGUCUCCUGGGGCCUGGCACAAAGUAAGUGCUCAGUAGUUAAAAGGGCCUGGCAUGGCGGCUUGUACUUGUAAUCUCAACUACACGGGAGGCUAAGGCAGGAAGAAUCACUUGAGGCCAGGAGUUUGAGAUCACUCUGGGCAACAUACUGAGACCCCCUACUUAAAUUUUUUUUAAAAAUGGCUGAAAGGUUUAAUGAGAUCGAGUUAUUAAUUAUAAAGACUAGCCAAUAUUUGGUCCUUAAAUACACUAACAAAAAGGCAGACCAAAAACUAUUUCUGACACGCUGUUAAAUUCUCUUUCAAAAGAAUAAAAUCUCUCUUUCUUCUACCCAUUUACCCCAGUCCCCUGAGGUCUGUCUCUCUGCUGGUUCUUGAGUUUGAGCUGCUUUUUACAGCCAUCUGUUACAGUGUUGUGUAACAACAAACAAUAUCCUCCUAAAAAUGUUUACAAAUGCUUCUUACAUUAGGGCUGUAUAUUUUUUCAUUAUGCUGUGGCAUCUCCAUUGAAAAAUUAUUUUAAUCAUUGCAAACUGAAUUACACAAGGAUAAUGCAUAAAGAGAUAGUACUUAAAAGGCUGAAUGUACAUUAAUUGCUUCAGCUAAUGAAAGAAACAUGACUUAGCCAAUGCACACAACAUGAAUCCUAAGAUGCAUGGACAAUUGACUACGGUAAUAAAACAAGUAUUAGUGUGUUAAAUCUGAAAUCCUCAUUAUGCUUCAUGCAGCAAAACCGACUGUGUACCUGCUGUUCAGUGUGCAUUUCCUCCUCUUGACACCAAGAGCUAAUUAUAGAACAAGGCACAGAGUGAAAGCAUGUGACCUACGUUUGGGGACCUUCAACAACACUGCAAAGUUAUGUUUGGUGACUUCUUAUUUUCUUUUUAAGCUGAUAAAAUAUGUGUUGGCCUAAAUGAUUUUGGAAUAUCUUGAUGUUCUGUAGGCAAUUUUAAUUAAAAUAUGAAUUAUUUAUAUAUGCACACAGUUUAUUUCACUUACAUUGGGAUCUUGCUUUAUCUCCCUUGGCUCUAUCAAUUAGUAAAUUGUUAAUGCAGGGAUAAUUUAUGUCACAGUGUUCAAGAUGCUGGCCAUUGAUUUCUUUGCCUGUCUUUCAUUUCACGAACCCAAAGUAAAGAUGAUGAUAAAAUCAUGGCAUUUAAGAGAUAAGAAGAGAAGUAAAUGUCUUCUUAUUGCUGCUUAUCUAGAAUCACAUGGCAUAAAUGUUAUAGUAAGUUAUAAACAGACUGCAUUAACCUACCACCUUCCAUUUAUAGAGUAAAAAUAUCAUGUUAUUAGGAACCUCACAAAAAGCUGAUAUACUUUAAACCACCACCCCCAUUUUUGAGAAACUUUGAGGGCACUACCAAUAUACUUCAAGGGAUAUGAACAGUUGGCUUAAUUCAAAGUAACUGCUUGAUAUGGUUUGGCUUUGUGUCCCCACCCAAAUCUCAUAUUGAAUUGUAAUCCCAUAAUCCCCACGUGUUGUGGGAGGGACCCAGUGGGAGGUGAUUGAAUCAUGGGGGUGGUUUCCCCCAUGCUGUUCUCGUGAUAGUGAGUGAUUUCUCAAGAAAUCUAUGGUUUUAUAAGCAUCUGGCAUUUCCCCUGCUUGGGUUCAUUUUCUCUCCUGCUGCCCUGUGAAGCAGUGCCUUCCACCAUAAUUGUAAGUUUCUUGAGGCCUCCCUGGCCGUGUGGAACUUUCAGUCGAUUAAACCUCUUUUCUUUAUAAAUUACCCAGUCUCAUAUAUUUCUUCAUAGCAGCGUGAGAACAAACCAAUUACCAUAAGUGGGAAAAGAAAGUAUUUCUUUUCUGGUAGAACCAGAUCUAGAAAAUAAAUCUUUUUCUCUUUCAUAGUUUAUACUACAUGUUGUCUUUUUAAAUUAUUUUCUCAUAAAGCCUUGGAUAUGUUUAAAUGUAUUUCUUUUGUGUUUCUUCCCAGAUUUGUAAAUUGAUGACUUUGGUGCCAACUAGCCUCACAUUUUGGAUGGACACAAGGGCCUUUCAGAGUUCUUUUUAAAAAAAAAAUGUUGGGCAAAAUUCUCUUUAACUGGCAAUACUUAAGAACUCUGCAGAUCAGAUUUUAGUUCUGCUAGAACCAAUGUGCAUCUUCCCCAUUUGUUCAGAGGAUAAUGAUGACAAUUUCCAUUUACACAUUGCAUUUCAUCUGGAAGGCACUCUCUCUCACACACUACAUCACUGUCUUCCACCUUCAGCAUGGCAACAGGAAAUGCCAACUGCAUUAUCACAGUCAUUGGUCAGUGAGGAGAAGAGAACCCCCAAAGCAAACACCGCAUCAGAGGCUGGAAGAAAGGCAGGAAGGCCAAAAGUGCAGUCAACACAUUGCUGUGUUUGCUUGGAAGGAUGGAAUUUACUAUGCGCUAACUUCCCUACAGUCAGAAAUGUCUAAGAAAUUUAUCCCAGUAAGUAAGGGAUGGGUGAUGCUGCCUCAUUUGAAAGUUGUGUGUGAUGUUGUAGGGGUGCGGAGAAGGGUGCAGGGGAGAUUGGACUUGAGAGAUGGAGAACGCAG
rnacentral:lncRNA from 10 species